UACGUAGGGGGCAAGCGUUGUCCGGAUUUAUUGGGCGUAAAGAGCGUGUAGGCGGCCAGGUAGGCCCGUUGUGAAAACUGGAGGCUUAACCUCCAGCUGUCGAUGGAAACCAUCUGGCUAGAGUCCGGAAGAGGAGAGUGGAAUUCCUGGUGUAGCGGUGAAAUGCGCAGAUAUCAGGAAGAACACCCGUGGCGAAGGCGGCUCUCUGGGACGGUACUGACGCUGAGACGCGAAAGCGUGGGGAGCGAACAGG
rnacentral:rRNA from 1 species